rnacentral:rRNA from 1 species
UACGUAGGGUGCGAGCGUUGUCCGGAAUUAUUGGGCGUAAAGGGCUCGUAGGCGGUUUGUCGCGUCGGGAGUGAAAACUCAGGGCUUAACCCUGAGCCUGCUUCCGAUACGGGCAGACUAGAGGUAUGCAGGGGAGAACGGAAUUCCUGGUGUAGCGGUGAAAUGCGCAGAUAUCAGGAGGAACACCGGUGGCGAAGGCGCUCAUCUGGCCCAAUACUGACGCUGAGGCGCGAAAGCUAGGGGAGCAAACGGG